rnacentral:ncRNA from 1 species
UAGAAAUUUUUAAAGUAAAUCGAUAUUAAUUUUAUUAUUAAUACUUUUUAAUAUCAAAUAUUCAAUAGCCUUAAUAAGGUUUACCCAUUUGGUAUAUAAUUAAUAAUUAAUUUAAAAUUGAUAUAAAUAAAGGAAUUUGAUUAUUUAAUUAAAAUAUAAUAUUAUAAUAAUUAGAAAAUAAUAUUAAUAUAAUAUAAUUUUUAUUUAAUACUUUAAAUAUUAAAGUAAAGAAAUUUAAUUAAAUGUAAAUAAAUAGUAAAAAUAAUUAUAAUUCUCUUAAAGUAAUCAGAUACUUUAUUAUUUAAUUAAUAACGCGUAUAAAUAAAUUAACGAGAUUCUUAUUAUCUUUAUUUAUUAUUUAAUGAAAUUAUAAUCAAAGGAAUAAAUUUAAUAGAAUUAAUAGGGAAAAAAGGCUUUAUUAAACUUAAUUUUAGUUUAAUAUUAUAAAAAGAUAUAAAAGGUGUAAAAUAAAUAGGAGCGUAAAUACUAAUAAAAUAUUAUUACUUUUAUCGUUUUUUUAUUUAUUUAAUAAAAUAAAACUAAAUAUUAAAAUCUUCGCGAGUUAAUUCGAAUUGAAAAUAUUAUUAAAUAAGGAGUUUAAUUAGAGUAAUAUAUUUAUUAAAUUAUAAUAUAAGUAUUUUAAAAAGGAUUUAUAAAGAAUAGAAAUCUCUAAUAGAAUAAAAAAGUAAAAAUCCCUUUGAUUUUGAUUUUAGUAUAAAUAUAAACCAUGAAAAUAUAAUUUAUUAAUCCUUUAAUCCCUUGAAAUUUGAGGCUAAAAAUACUAGAGAAAUUAUUAUAAAAAUAAUUAGCUUAUAGUAAUAUUAUUUUUUUAUUCUUGGAUAUUAAUUCUUCUUAUUAUAUUAAAAUAGAAUUCGAUAAAUAUUAGAUUAUUCACUUAUUAAUAAGGAAUAUAAAUUGGGUUUAAAUUAUCGUAAAAUAAAUUAGUUUUAUUUUACUAAUAAUUAUUACUAUAAUAAUAAUUCAAUUUAAUAUAAAAGGAAUCGUUAAUCCAAAUAAUUGGUUUUUAUAAUUAUUUGAUAAAAUAAUACCGUGAAAUUACUAUUUGCUAAAUAAUAACUAAAUAUUUCUAAAUUAGAAUUUAUAUUAAAACGCGGCGAUUUUCUCUUAUAUAUCGUAAUCGGAUACAAAUAAACUUCGGCCUUAUAUUUUAAUUGGUUGGCAUUUAAAUUAUAAUGGAAUUCUAUAGUUCUAAUUAAUAUUUUAUAAUUUUAUUAUACGUAGGAAUAAAACUUUUAUAUACGAUUUAAUUAUAUUAUUUAGUAUUAUAAAUAGUAAAAUAGUUUUAUUAUUACGAUUUAUUAAAAUUAAAUUACAAUUAUUUUAUUUU